rnacentral:rRNA from 1 species
CCUGCCGGCGACCGGCGCACGGGUGAGUAACACGUAUGCGACCUCGCCCCCCGCAGGGGGAGUAACCGGGAGAAAUCCCGACUAAUACCGCGUAACGCCGCGGGGCUGCAUGGGCCCCGGCGGCCAAAGGAAGCGAUUCCGGCGGGGGGAUGGGCAUGCGGCGCAUUAGCUAGUCGGCGGGGUAACGGCCCACCGAGGCGACGAUGCGUAGGGGUUCUGAGAGGAAGGUCCCCCCACACUGGUACUGAGACACGGACCAGACUCCUACGGAAGGCAGCAG